GGCCAGGUAGCUCAGUCGGUAGAGCAGAGGAUUGAAAAUCCUUGUGUCGGCAGUUCGAUUCUGCCCCAGGCCA
rfam:Advenella mimigardefordensis DPN7, complete genome.